GAUGAACGCUGGCGGCGUGCCUAAUACAUGCAAGUCGAGCGAACAGACGAGGAGCUUGCUCCUCUGACGUUAGCGGCGGACGGGUGAGUAACACGUGGAUAACCUACCUAUAAGACUGGGAUAACUUCGGGAAACCGGAGCUAAUACCGGAUAAUAUAUUGUACCGCAUGGUUCAAUAGUGAAAGACGGUUUUGCUGUCACUUAUAGAUGGAUCCGCGCCGCAUUAGCUAGUUGGUAAGGUAACGGCUUACCAAGGCGACGAUGCGUAGCCGACCUGAGAGGGUGAUCGGCCACACUGGAACUGAGACACGGUCCAGACUCCUACGGGAGGCAGCAGUAGGGAAUCUUCCGCAAUGGGCGAAAGCCUGACGGAGCAACGCCGCGUGAGUGAUGAAGGUCUUCGGAUCGUAAAACUCUGUUAUUAGGGAAGAACAAAUGUGUAAGUAACUAUGCACGUCUUGACGGUACCUAAUCAGAAAGCCACGGCUAACUACGU
rnacentral:rRNA from 1 species